rnacentral:rRNA from 1 species
GGUUUCUUGUAAGUAUUGGAAAUUUAACCUGCCCACUGAUUAAUUAUUAAAGGGCCGCAGUAUUUUGACUGUGCAAAGGUAGCAUAAUCAUUAGUCUUUUAAUUGAAGGCUGGAAUGAAUGGUUGGACGAGGCAAAUACUGUCUUAUAGUAAAGACUUAGAAAUUAAUUUUUGAAUAAAAAAGUUCAAAUGUUUUUGAGUGACGAGAAGACCCUAUAGAGUUUAACAAAAGUUAUAGUUGUAUUUUGUUAAAUAAUUAGUAAUUUAAUAUGAUUAAAUUAUUUUGUUUAGUUGGGGUGAUUGGAAAAUAUGGGAAACUUUUCUUUAAAAUUAAUAUUUAUAGAUAAAUAAAUAAUGGAUCCAUUAUAAAUGAUUAUAAGAUUAAAUUACCUUAGGGAUAACAGCGUAAUCUCUUUUGAGAGUUCAUAUUGAGAAAGGGGGUUGCGACCUCGAUGUUGGAUUAAGAUAAAUGUUGAAUGUAGCUGUUCAAAUUAUUAGGUCUGUUCGACCUUUAAAAUCUUACA